UCCCGGCCUCUCAGCACAUCCCCCGUCACUCUCACCUCACCACCCCCUAAGCAUAGAAAGAGAGAGAGUAGGGGACACGGCCCCUGGAUGCACACCAAGGUGUUUCUCAGUGUGUUGGGCAACGGGCGCUGGUACACCUUCGGUCCGCUUAUAUUCACCCACAUCUUAACUUCCACCACCUCACCGACCCCUCACUCGUCUGUCUCAUUCACGAUCUACGUGUACCUGUGCUACCUGGUUUUCCUUCGCUUGCCUUAAAAGUCCCGGUGAUCCUGGUCCCCGGCCAGGGACCUCCUGUCUUUUUUACAUUCAGCCGAGGUCUGGUCUCCCGUAACGAGCAACGUCAAAUUCAAUUAGAAUUAAACUGCGGAAACGCGGCGACGGCUCCGUGAUCAUUGCUGUAUUUACUUCUGAUUACUGCGAACGUCGCUCGUAAAGCGUUCACAUUUAAAGAGGCUCGCUGUCGCAAUUACGCAGCGAAAACCGGGAUUUUGUGUGCGAACUGAUUCUUCGUAAUUACCAUUUGAACAUACGCGAAUUUUUUCCUUGCGUUCGAAAUAUGUAGAGGAAGGUGCUUUGAAAAUUAUAAUAUGCCAUUAUCGAUACUUACGUAAUAUAUAAACGCGUUUGUUUCGAAAUAAAAUUUGAAGAGAUUCUUUGUUCGUUGUGUCUCCAUACUUCGCUGUACUUCAACAUAAUGGAAUUAAGUUAAUUUUCGUUAGAUCAGUUUCUCAAGUUUCUCAAUUCUAAACGAAAGUUAACGUUAUGAUAAAAUAUUUCCUAGUCGAAUUUUCCUGUAGUAAGGUAUUAGGAUGUAGCUAUAUUUGGACGACAUUUAUCGAUCCGUUAUGUAACAAAAGCUAGCGUGCACAUUGCUGAGCCGAAUUCAUCUGGACAGGCACGGUUACCUCGGCCCGUUUCCCGAUCGCGAAUGAUCGCACGGGACUACGUAUAUUUUCAAUCGAUGGGGCCACCCCUAUCGACUAGCUCGUACGGUUUAGAGCGAUAGCAGGAAGCUACAACUCGAAUUAGAUAAACCCGAGAGGUUCCGAGAGACGGUACAGGAAGAAGAAGAAGAGCAGGAUCAGCGUGAGCGCUUAGCGGGAGCUUCGAAAGGAUCUCUGGAGUGAGAGGGCUUUCCUUAAACCCUAAACCCUCCUCAGACCACGGGAAGCUCGAAGAGUUUAGAGCAACGAACUCCUAGAAAGGACCGCAGGAAGAGAAUGUGCUCUCUCUGACUAAAAUCGAAAGUUAAAUCGCACCGACGGCUUAAGACAUUAUCACUUUUCUUUGCCGGCCAAUGCUCAUUGGUCCAGCAUUCGGUGUUCGAGAGUUCGAGAGCUACGCGAGCGAGUGAAAGAUAAGGAAAGAGAAAGAGAGAAGGCGAGUGAAAGGAAGAGAGAGUUAGGUGGCUGAAGCAGAGCAAGGAAGAGCUUGAAUCCCUUCCAGUUAGGGAUCAAUGCUUCCUCGUCCACCCUCCAAUUACGUGUCAUCCCUUAUGGCCUGUGGGGAAUAAUUAGAAAGCAGCCCUUUUCCUGGACCGAGUACCUACGUCCGCCAACGUGGUAUCGCGUAAAGAUUGGUUUCGUUUUUGCGUCCAAGGAAAUGUCACGUCCGCUGUUAAAGUCUCUGCUUUUCUCGCGAAUCGACGACGGCAGCUGUUUAGUCCUCUUUUACUGUGAGCGAUGUUUGAUUUAAUUGUAAUACUCGAGUUUAUAAAGAAUCUGAGUGCAUUAUUUGGUUAAUGUAAAAAGAUGUGCAAUACAGAAUUUAGGACUCAUUUUCAUAUCAAGAAUUAUUCUCCUAAUACCAGGGUCUUUCUGUAUAAUAAUUUCUAGUAAUAUUGGUGAAUUAAAAAGUUAUAAGUUGCAGAUUAUAAACUUAUCGUUAACAAUUUCACCAUUUUUUAUUAAAUAGGUGAGUCAGAUAAUUUACGAUUUUCAAUAUGAGUGACUGCACGAGUGAUUUCUAUCUAAACGAAAAAAAAUGUAAUUCUUAUGUUAGACAUAAUAUUCCAAAAAGUCAAUUCCAAGAAAUCAAUAUAAAUCGAAAGUACUCGGUAUAAGUGUUAUACGUUUGCUGUUCAGCCUGCGUUGACUGAUAACAGUCCUCCCUCUUGACAGACAUGAAGAUUCUCGACACCUCAAAAUCCGUACUCGUCAAUUAAUUAGCAAGUGCCGUUCCUAGCGGAGGAGAUGGUUACCCAGGAACACGAGGCUGCAGAAGCGGACGAUGGUGCCUCUACUGAAGGGAUUAGAGUAUUAGGCGACGUCACGUCACUAGAGUCUAAAGGAGCCUCCUUGGAACUGUGCUCUCAGAGAUAGCCCAAACUUACACACCCCCUUCGUCUUACCGAUGGUUCUUCAAGUACUCGCCCCCUCUCUCUUUCUCUUAUACACUUUCCCUAUUCGUGCUCACUUCCUCAGUCUCGCUCACUCACUCCUCAUCUUUCGUCGUUGCUUCUUGCUGGGUCUGGCGUCCUUCUUCAAGUCCUCGACAAUUCCAAUUAGAUAAACCACGCCAGGAUCACGGUACUCUUAACAGUAUUCGAGGUUAAGUCUGUUUCUAGAUUUAUGUCAAAACAAUUGUAAAAUGUCGACAUCGAGAGUUAUUUGUCUUGAUCACUUCAUUAAGAAAAGCUGAAUAUAUAUAUAUUCUUCAGUUGCGAUGGUAAUAGAAUAUUGUGCAUCAAUAUCUUCAUGGUUUAGCUUUUUCAAAGUAUAAGUUAAUUUUCUUUCAACUUUCUAUCCGUCUCAAAUCUUUAUUGGGUGGUUUCUUCUGUAAACGGUGAAUCUAAUAUGGAGCAAUAUUCAUAUUUCGCAUUCUAAAGACCAUCGCGCUCCAAAUUUUUAUUCGAGAUUAUUAAAGAACCAUUUGAGAAUACAAUGUACAAAAUACUUGUUUCCACUUGUUCGUUUUUAUAUACUAAGGAAUAAGAAUGAUUUUCGUUGUACCUACUCCAUCUAAGCAUCCACGGAGGGUGUUCUCGCGAGAGGAACUCGUACAUCUUUUUCUCGCCGACAUUCAAGGGUGGGGGGUCGGUGCUAGGCGAAUGCCGGAUAAUUUAGGGGUCUCUCACGCGUGGAUAAUGGGGAACUUGGCUAAUGCACCCCACUUGGCACCACGUGGAUUCGCGUGAGUUUUGCGACUCAGACUCUUCCCGCUCCCAUCGCCUUCUUAAACGCCGAAUGAAGGCACAGCGUGACUAUGGAAUAACAACGACAGAGUCCAUGUGAUUCAUAUCCAUAAAACUCCAUUUCCCCACAAUAAUUUUAUUCUCUAUCGAAAAAAUUACUACAUUUUGCUUCAAUCAUUAUUAUUAGUAGCAUUGCUCCGAAAUAUUGACUGCUACGACUUAAUGCUAUUAAUUCUUCGAUAUUCGUUGAUAUAGAGCAAUAAUAAAUAUUUGAAUAUUUCAAAGUAUUAGAUAUAUCAAAAAGUUCGCAGACUCGACGAGAAUGUCGAGAACUCUUAUUUAAUCGAGCGGGACCAGUGGCGUGCAUUGUCUGACCAUCGACGGCGGCAUUCUACUGAACACGAUUUGAGCCCGAGAAACCUAACGAAUUGGCUUUAUUUCCAAAGGGGAUCCAGCGAUGCUAUUCUCUGUCGAGCUGCUUUCACAUCGAAGGACAAGGGAAAAGGAUUUUAAAGCGGGGCUCAUGUCGUGGUAUCAGUGCAAGCGGAGAAAGAACGCUGUGACUAGGACAGCUGCCCGAUUCGGACAUCCAUCCAGCUCCAGGGAAUAGCUCUCGUCCCUUUACUAACUAUCCGCUCUUACGUCAACCACUUCGCUCUCAUCCUGUUUCUUUCCUUCUCGUGUCCUCACCAGCCGCGCCCCCAGCUUGCAGACUGACGUCUUAAAGCAAUCGAAUUCUGAUCAAAUAUUUAACGCUGCCGGGGCUAACGUUUUAAGUGGCUCCUCCUCUAUCGCUGGACCCUGUUUUGCCGUAUAAGAAGCGUCUUACAUCGUUCUCCUGUUUCAUCGAGUUUUCUGACAAGCAGGUUUAAAUGUGCCUGGACUUGAGCAAGAAAAAUACCAUAUUUUUCAAGUUUUAAAUGCAUCGACGAAGUGUAACAAGGUGGUCCUGAGAUUUCUGGUUCGAUUAACGGGCCGGCUAUGGAUCAACGCGCCAGGUCCAAGGUGGAGGUCGCUUUUUUGUCCUUUUCAGCACACGGCAAUACGUCACGCGUCCCGGUUUCGGGGAGUAAUUAAAGAGAGCGCAGAACAGCAUGACGCCUCGGGCCUGUCUGGGGUAAGGAGCGGGGCGAGACGAGCCAACCCGAGGGUAUGGGGUAUAAGGGAUGUGUUUUACCGAGGGAUACUUAUACCAUCCCUACGCGGCACAUAUUUUCAUAUAACAAAACCAUCUGCGUGCCGCGCAUAACAAAUUUCAACUGAUUUAUAGUGAAGCUGGGGUAAGCGGGCGCAAAUUUUCGCAGUUACGUCGGCGUCGGUACCGGCGUCGACGCUGUUCUCAGGAACUCGGGCCAGUCGUGUUCCCUCCUUCCGUCGAUUUAUAUUACUUAUAUUUCUUUUCUUUUUCUCGAGUGUGUGACGAUGAUAAGUGAUUUCGUGUUCGUAGAUAUGAUGAUUGAAGUGGUGUACGAUUCGUGUCGUUAAAUAAUAAGAGUUUACCAGUUGUGAAGUAUAAUUUUGUGACUGAACUAGUUUGUAAUUUUGUACCGUUGAAAUGGAAAUUUAAUUUUAUUUGCGAGUGACACUACUUUUUAAGGAUAUUUAUAAAAAUAACGAGUAGAAAAUACGCAGAAACAACAUACUAAUUCUCCUAGCAAUAUUACUCAAACACAGCAACAAAUAUUGCCAACAAUAUUAAGAUCGUUCGUUGAUAUACUAAUUCUAUUUCAGUUAAUAUAAUACAUAUUACAUGUUGGAUGAAAUACAGAAUAAGGGAAGAGUUAGGUCUUAGGUUAAUGUCCCGGAUUUGCAAUGUCUGCAUAGGAUAAUAGGUUAAAAUACUGAGAAGUGCAUAAAGACAAAAAUUUAUUUAUAUCGGGAAAAUAUUGAAUGUGACUUUAUAUUACAAGUGUACGCUUUGUAUGUAUCUCAAUACUUCUAGGAUUGCAAAGAACGGAAAUCGGAAAGGACGUUCCUGAAAGUUUCACACUGAUAUCUGUGAGGAACGCGACCCUAAAGGGUUGCACAGAGGGGGUUGCAAAGUCGGGUAUGUACAAAGAGGGACGAAGAGAGGAGGGGAUAGUAAGAAGGGACCGUACUCGGACCAGCCGACUACGAACCGAGCCAUUGGAUCGAUAAUGUCAUAGUGACAAGUAGCAGCACGUAAGGCAAAUUAGUUUUUGAAACGGCAAGCCGGCCGACGCCUUAUUCCCACGGCCAACUAAUAACUUCUGAUUGACAAUUUCAUUAUGUCAAUUGAGAUAAGACGGAGUAGCAUCUGCACGGGAAAUACGGUGAAAACUAACGUCAGUCUGGCGUGAGUUCUUACCAGAGAGAACGCAGAGCGCAGUAAAUCCUGAAACGAACCCGGAAUAAACUGUCCAUGCUACGGCUAUAAUAAUAUGCCUUCGUCGACGUCGCCGCUAGAUUGUUACGGGUUGUUGGAAUUGCCUCGCCGAAAACCAGUCCGCUUCGCGGUGUUCUUGGAUUACGAUGCAAUUUCUCCAGACUCAUGGGAUUGCACUGAUGACGGCCCUUAAAACUCGACAGCCCCUUCUGCUACGCUUUCUCACCCGGAAUUACGUGUAGACGCGUGUGUCGAUAAAUUCGAUGAUCUUCAGACUGUUUCCGUUAUCACGUUGACCAGAAAUUUUCCAUAACGUUUGUGAAUCAACGAACCGAUGGUUUAAUAAAGUUAAGCAUAA